AAAGCAGUGAUGAGCAGCUAACAUGUUAGAAGAUCCCAUGUAGGAAGUGGGUUCUUCUAUGAAAUACUCUUACGCUUGGCUUCUGAGCUUU